UCAACGGUAGGUUUCAUUACUUACCUGUGGACUUUUGUCCAUAGACACAUGAUGAACAGUGGUCAUGAUCUCUUUGAUUAAACCACACUGGGGCAGUGGUCAGCGACGGCCACUAGUCUCAUUUCUGAC